rnacentral:lncRNA from 1 species
UAGUUACUCAUCUAGGGAACAACUGGGUAGAAAGAGAUGGACUCCCUGUAUUUGAAAUUCAGAACUCAAGCUUGGCUCUAAGUGUUUCCUUGCUUUGCUGUGCUCCAGGGGAGUCACUGAGCAGAAGGAAGCGAGUUGCCUGAGAUUCUUCAAAGCCCCAGCCCUUUUGGAGGUUAGAUUGUUAUUCUCAGAGCCUUUAUGAUACAUAAUAAAGACCUAGCUUGGACCAAUAUUAGGAUGAGUUAUCUUGGUAUUAACAUUCUUUUAGGUAGAAGUUGCUGGCCCCAUCUUGCUCACAAUCCUCCAAAGUUUGAAAGUUAUUUUCCAGGAGACUUGGCUUGCACUGAGAGUUGUCCUCCCACCCUCUCUCCAAAUUUCCUCUUGGGGGUAGCCUAACAAGGUACUGUCACAGACCCUUGCCAGCCACGAUGACCCCACCCAGACCAUCCCUCUGCUGUUUCACUCUUUGUUCCUCUCUGGAGCUCUCUGGGGAAGGGUGAGACCUGCCGUCUGGUUUUUACGGUUUGCCCAGGUCUUACAGUCAUGGUUGGCUGCCUCUCUCUGAGAGCUGGGACUCCUGAACUUGGUGAAAUACCUCAGCCAUCGAUCAUGUUAAAUUAUCGGGGACACUCAUUUAAAAUCUGAGCCUGCUCCAGAUGGACUCUCUCUCUUUCUUCCCUGACCGUGAGAGAAGCCCUGCUGGAAGGUGGAGACAUUCAUGGGCUGUGAGCAAGGGAUGGAAAGGCUGCCGGGAAUCCCAUCUUUCCAGCAUCAUCUGCCAAAGCACAUCAGUUCCUGGGUAUUUUGAUGGGUUCUGGCAGCAUUACUGUCAUUGAAGGAAAUCAUUUUAGCCAUAUUAAAGGUUAAUGCAGCAAUCUCCACACAGGCUGCCUGGAAGGGACGUGGGACAAGGGUAGGUUUUCCCUGUGAUGGACAGGAGGCAGGCGGCCCUCCCACAGCCCUGCCUGGCAAUGCAGAUGUGUCCCCAAAAGGCACUGGGGGCCAGCUGAAGUUCUAUGCUGAGGCAGGCUGACCCGGGCCGUGGGUUCGCUCUGAUUGCAGCGGUUUCCCGCCAGCUCCUUGGAGAGCUGGCAGAUGGCCCAGCCCCACAGCAAGAGCCUCGAAUGGCAGAACGAGAUACAACAAUUUGAUAUCCACUUGCCAGACGAGCCGGGUGUCGUCAGUCGCUUGGCUCUGCGCCCAAACUCUUUGUGCAUAAACAGUUAUGAAUUCAGCCAAGAGGAAAAGCACUCUGAUUAUGAAUUGAGCAGAAGGAAACAAAGUUCUGCAGAUAAACACCAAUGAGACAAAAAAACACGAAUAAGAAAAAUGACAGAAAAGGAGAACUUUCCCAGAAGCCUCCUGCCAGUGAACGGCCACCAUAGCAAGAGCAUGGAGGCCCUGGGUUUUGAACUGUGAGACAAGGAAGAUGAUGAAAACCUCCCUAGCAUCCAG